UACGUAGGGGCCUAGCGUUGUCCGGAAUUAUUGGGCGUAAAGAGCUCGUAGGCGGUUCGGCAAGUCGGAUGUGAAAUCUCCACGCUUAACGUGGAGGGGCCAUUCGAAACUGCUGUGACUCGAGUCCGGUAGGGAGUGUGGAAUUCCCGGUGUAGCGGUGAAAUGCGCAGAUAUCGGGAGGAACACCAGUAGCGAAGGCGGCA
rnacentral:rRNA from 1 species